CGGCACGGGUGAGUAACACGUAUCCAACCUGCCGUCUACUCUUGGCCAGCCUUCUGAAAGGAAGAUUAAUCCAGGAUGGCAUCAUGAGUUCACAUGUCCGCAUGAUUAAAGGUAUUUCCGGUAGACGAUGGGGAUGCGUUCCAUUAGAUAGUAGGCGGGGUAACGGCCCACCUAGUCAACGAUGGAUAGGGGUUCUGAGAGGAAGGUCCCCCACAUUGGAACUGAGACACGGUCCAA
rnacentral:rRNA from 1 species